rnacentral:rRNA from 1 species
UACGUAGGGUGCAAGCGUUAAUCGGAAUUACUGGGCGUAAAGCGUGCGCAGGCGGUGUUGUAAGACAGAUGUGAAAUCCCCGGGCUCAACCUGGGAACUGCAUUUGUGACUGCAUCGCUGGAGUGCGGCAGAGGGGGAUGGAAUUCCGCGUGUAGCAGUGAAAUGCGUAGAUAUGCGGAGGAACACCGAUGGCGAAGGCAAUCCCCUGGGCCUGCACUGACGCUCAUGCACGAAAGCGUGGGGAGCAAACAGG